AAUAAGGUGGCUGAGGAAAAUAGGCGUUAGAUUGUAAAUCUAAGAACGAGUAAGACUUUCUUAUUA
rnacentral:tRNA from 1 species